UCCGGAAGUUAUGUUGGUUAUGCUUGAAGCACGUCAUAUAUAUACAUCUCAUGCAUUGGAAGUUUAUCGUCGUCUUCUGGCCGCGACCGUACCGGUACAGUACCGUAUGUCACCCGAGGAGGGGUACGGUGCACACCCUUACGUUACCCGAGGAGGGGUAUGUUUAGAUGUUGACGUGCAUUUUGGGGAUGGAUCUUGGUAGCUGCACACACUACCUCAUCACCAUGUUGAUAGCUCAACCGGUGUUAUAAAUGAUGGUUUUGGUGGUCUGUCGUUUGCUUGGUUUAAGUCGUAGUACGACGCUGGUAGCGUCGUGAAGGUUUCUAUAUAUAUAUAUAUAUGCCGGUUAUGUCA